rnacentral:rRNA from 1 species
AUUGAACGCUGGCGGCAGGCCUAACAAAUGCAAGUCGAGCGGGGUUUUCGGACCUAGCGGCGGACGGGUGAGUAAUGCGUAGGAAGCUGCCCGAUAGAGGGGGAUACCAGUUGGAAACGACUGUUAAUACCGCAUAAUGUCUACGGACCAAAGUGUGGGACCUUCGGGCCACAUGCUAUCGGAUGCGCCUACGUGGGAUUAGCUAGUUGGUGAGGUAAUGGCUCACCAAGGCGACGAUCUCUAGCUGGUUUGAGAGGAUGAUCAGCCACACUGGAACGGAGACACGGUCCAGACUCCUACGGGAGGCAGCAGUGGGGAAUAUUGGGCAAUGGGCGCAAGCCUGAUCCAGCCAUGCCGCGUGUGUGAAGAAGGCCUUCGGGUUGUAAAGCACUUUCAGCGAGGAGGAAGGGGUGUGUGUUAAUAGUACACACCUUUGACGUUACUCGCAGAAGAAGCACCGGCUAACUCUGUGCCAGCCGCCGCGGUAACAC